rnacentral:rRNA from 1 species
UGGGGAAUUUUGGACAAUGGGCGAAAGCCUGAUCCAGCAAUGCCGCGUGUGUGAAGAAGGCCUUCGGUUGUAAGCACUUUGUCCGGAAAGAAAUCCUUGGCUCUAAUACAGUCGGGGGAUGACGGUACCGGAAGAAUAAGCACCGGCUAACUACGUGCCAGCAGCCGCGGUAAUACGUAGGGUGCAAGCGUUAAUCGGAAUUACUGGGCGUAAAGCGUGCGCAGGCGGUUUGCUAAGACCGAUGUGAAAUCCCCGGGCUCAACCUGGGAACUGCAUUGGUGACUGGCAGGCUAGAGUAUGGCAGAGGGGGGUUAGAAUUCCACGUGUAGCAGUGAAAUGCGUAGAGAUGUGGAGGAAUACCGAUGGCGAAGGCAGCCCCCUGGGCCAAUACUGACGCUCAUGCACGAAAGCGUGGGGAGCAAACAGGAUUAGAUACCCUGGUAGUCCACGCCCCUAAACGAUGUCAACUAGUUGUUGGGGAUUCAUUUCCUUAGUAACGUAGCUAACGCGUGAAGUUGACCGCCUGGGGAGUACGGUCGCAAGAUU